AUACGGAGGAUCCGAGCGUUAUCCGGAUUUAUUGGGUUUAAAGGGUGCGCAGGCGGCCAUUUAAGUCAGCGGUUAAAUCGUGGGGCUCAACCCCAUUCUGCCGUUGAUACUGGGUGGCUUGAUUGCGGUCGAGGUUGGCGGAAUUCGUUGUGUUGCGGUGAAAUGCAUAGAUAUGACGAAGAACACCGAUUGCGUAGGCAGCUGACCAGACCGCAAAUGACGCUCAUGCACGAAAGUGCGGGGAUCGAACAGGAUUAGAUACCCUGGUAGUCCGCACAGUAAACGAUGAAUACUUGUUUUCGGCGAUAUAAUGUCGGAGGCAAAGCGAAAGCGAUAAGUAUUCCACCUGGGGAGUACGCCGGCAACGGUGAAACUCAAAUGAAUUGGCGGG
rnacentral:rRNA from 1 species